GCGGGUAUAGUUUAAUGGUUAAAUAUCUCCCUUCCAAGGAGAGGUUACGGGUUCGAUUCCCGUUACCCGCU
rnacentral:tRNA from 1 species